rnacentral:rRNA from 1 species
AGAGUUUGAUCCUGGCUCAGGAUGAACGCUGGCGGUAUGCUUAACACAUGCAAGUCGAACGGAUGUCUUCGGACAUUAGUGGCGGACGGGUGAGUAACGCGUGAGAAUCUGCCUAUAGGUUGGGGACAACAGAUGGAAACGUCUGCUAAUACCCAAUGUGCCGAGAGGUAAAAGCUUUAGUGCCUGUAGAUGAGCUCGCGUCCGAUUAGCUAGUUGGUUAGGUAAAAGCUGACCAAGGCGACGAUCGGUAGCUGGUCUGAGAGGAUGAUCAGCCACACUGGGACUGAGACACGGCCCAGACUCCUACGGGAGGCAGCAGUGGGGAAUUUUCCGCAAUGGGCGAAAGCCUGACGGAGCAAUACCGCGUGCGGGACGAAGGCUUUUGGGUCGUAAACCGCUUUUGUUAGGGAAGAAUAAAUGACGGUACCUAACGAAUCAGCAUCGGCUAACUCCGUGCCAGCAGCCGCGGUAAUACGGGGGAUGCAAGCGUUAUCCGGAAUUAUUGGGCGUAAAGCGUCCGCAGGUGGUUUAUCAAGUCUGCUGUCAAAGCGUGGGGCUUAACCCCAUAAAGGCAGUGGAAACUGAGAGACUAGAGUACGGUAGGGGUAGCGGGAAUUCCCAGUGUAGCGGUGAAAUGCGUAGAUAUUGGGAAGAACACCAGCGGCGAAGGCGCGCUACUGGGCCGAAACUGACACUCAUGGACGAAAGCUAGGGGAGCGAAAGGGAUUAGAUACCCCUGUAGUCCUAGCUGUAAACGAUGACAACUAGGUGUUGCGCGUAUCGACCCGUGCAGUGCCGUAGCUAACGCGUUAAGUUGUCCGCCUGGGGAGUACGCACGCAAGUGUGAAACUCAAAGGAAUUGACGGGGGCCCG